AUAGCAUGUCAGAAGGCAGACCCGGAGAACUGAAACAUCUUAGUACCCGGAGGAAGAGAAAGAAAAAUCGAUUCCCUGAGUAGCGGCGAGCGAAACGGGAAGAGCCCAAACCAACAAGCUUGCUUGUUGGGGUUGUAGGACACUCUAUACGGAGUUACAAAAGAACAUGUUAGACGAAUCAUCUGGAAAGAUGAAUCAAAGAAGGUAAUAAUCCUGUAGUCGAAAACAUAUUCUCUCUUGAGUGGAUCCUGAGUACGACGGAGCACGUGAAAUUCCGUCGGAAUCUGGGAGGACCAUCUCCUAAGGCUAAAUACUCUCUAGUGACCGAUAGUGAACCAGUACCGUGAGGGAAAGGUGAAAAGUACCCCGGAAGGGGAGUGAAAGAGAACUUGAAACCGUGUGCUUACAAGUAGUCAGAGCCCGUUAAUGGGUGAUGGCGUGCCUUUUGUAGAAUGAACCGGCGAGUUACGAUCUGAUGCAAGGUUAAGCAGCAAAUGUGGAGCCGCAGCGAAAGCGAGUCUGAAUAGGGCGUUGAGUAUUUGGUCGUAGACCCGAAACCAGGUGAUCUACCCUUGGUCAGGUUGAAGUUCAGGUAACACUGAAUGGAGGACCGAACCGACUUACGUUGAAAAGUGAGCGGAUGAACUGAGGGUAGCGGAGAAAUUCCAAUCGAACUUGGAGAUAGCUGGUUCUCUCCGAAAUAGCUUUAGGGCUAGCCUCAAGUGAUGAUUAUUGGAGGUAGAGCACUGUUUGGACGAGGGGCCCCUCUCGGGUUACCGAAUUCAGACAAACUCCGAAUGCCAAUUAAUUUAACUUGGGAGUCAGAACAUGGGUGAUAAGGUCCGUGUUCGAAAGGGAAACAGCCCAGACCACCAGCUAAGGUCCCAAAAUAUAUGUUAAGUGGAAAAGGAUGUGGCGUUGCCCAGACAACUAGGAUGUUGGCUUAGAAGCAGCCAUCAUUUAAAGAGUGCGUAAUAGCUCACUAGUCGAGUGACACUGCGCCGAAAAUGUACCGGGGCUAAACAUAUUACCGAAGCUGUGGAUUGUCCUUUGGACAAUGGUAGGAGAGCGUUCUAAGGGCGUCGAAGCAUGAUCGCAAGGACAUGUGGAGCGCUUAGAAGUGAGAAUGCCGGUGUGAGUAGCGAAAGACGGGUGAGAAUCCCGUCCACCGAUUGACUAAGGUUUCCAGAGGAAGGCUCGUCCGCUCUGGGUUAGUCGGGUCCUAAGCUGAGGCCGACAGGCGUAGGCGAUGGAUAACAGGUUGAUAUUCCUGUACCACCUAGUAUCGUUUUAAUCGAUGGGGGGACGCAGUAGGAUAGGCGAAGCGUGCUGUUGGAGUGCACGUCCAAGCAGUAAGGCUGAGUGUUAGGCAAAUCCGGCACUCAUAAGGCUGAGCUGUGAUGGGGAGAGGAAAUUGUUUCCUCGAGUCGUUGAUUUCACACUGCCGAGAAAAG
rnacentral:rRNA from 1 species